CGAGGCGUCAAAGCACGCGAAAAAAAAAUCUCAAAUCACCGCUAGAUGCGUAGACGCGGAGAAGAAGAAGAAGAAGAAGAAAAGCGAGAGGCAAAAACUCCAGAACCAGAAGGCGGCGGAAUUCUAACAUCUGCUCUCCAGGCAACCGGUUCCCCUCCAGACCCGAAGAUCAUGGAGCCUGAGGAGGGGUUUUGUCGCUCCGUCGGUUGGAGUCCAGUGAGACGCUGACCUCGCGCAGACGUCCAACGAGAGCUUUCAUCUUAAAGCGGCAGAGGACGGCAGCACAGGACGGGAAUGUGCUGUUUAUGUACAUUAAACGUGAACACAAAACGGAUCACCGGAGAGGAUGAAAGCAAAUGGAUGCUGCAGUUCCUGCACUAAUGUUGCCUGGCAACCACACCAAGCUUCCCUUUGAGGUGCCGAUGAAACCAACUACGGUAGGGCAAUUUCUCUUUACAUCCAUCCUUUAGAUUAGUUUAUUAGGUUUCGCCCGGCAGAAGCCAGCGACAAUGCGUUGUUGAGAUUUGGGCACAAAAGAGUGGACAUGACACGAAAGGGAGACCUUUGUGGAGCCGUAAGUAGAAUAUUUUCAACACUGAUUUUUUUUUAGGUUUGGCGUCUUGUAUUUUCUACGGUAGGUUUUCUGCAAAUUCCAGUUAAAAUUUUAAUCAGAAAGCUAGAUAGAAACUCGAAAUGCGUGGAAUACCGUCCUAUGCCAUUUGAAAUCUCAGAAAAUCCCAUACAAUCCGUUAAAUUAAAAAAGUAAAAGCAUAAAGAGAGAUGGGCCACCAAUAUCUUAAAAAAAAAAAAGAAAAAAUUCCUGCUGUGUGCAACUUCCACUGUGAGAGUGUUUCUGCAUUACAAACAGGAUUAGAAACUUGCAGAGUAAUCAUAGGAUUUAGAGACGGUAACUUAAAAGACUGGCUUCAACUUUUUCUUGAUGCUUUGGUGCAUCAACUAAUCAUGCAUUUGCUUCACACGUUCCUGUCAGUGAUGAUGUCAACAAGUGCAAGGGUGAUACUUCAGCGGCGACUUGGCAACGCACCAUCAAACUGGGUCAAUACUAAGACAAUAAACCAAUGUACAGACCUUCCUCUGUAAUAAACCCCUAUGGUUGCACAGUGAAGUCCUUUCCUCAUGUUAAUGAGGGGGUGUUGCACCCGCUUUGAACAGAAUGCACCUGAGAUAUGACGUCUGUGAUGUCAUGGGCUUGACUAACUUGGACAUGUUUACUGGCUGUAGUUUGUUCGCAGGUUUUUGAUUGCAGGUUUGUCAGUGAAGACGCUAGUUUGUUUGACUGCAGUUAGUCAUAAUUGUACAAACUCCCUCAUAGCUUUGCAUGAUGACGCUAUGUUCCUCAACAGUGUAGGUGUAGAAAUCCAAGCAAUGCUACUCUCACAGCUACAAGGUGCACCUUUAAGGGUCCAGGGUGAAAGGUUAGACCAGAAUUAAAUGAAUUAAAAGUCCAUGAGGUUGUACUCAGUAGUUUGUAUUGGUGUAUGCAGAACAUGAGGUCUGUAGCAUUUCCUGCCAGUGACGAAAUACAGAACGGCAUUUAUCGUUAUUUAUUUAUUUUUAAAGGGAUGAGGGGAUGUCUGAGAUGGAGUGAGACAUAACAACCUCCUUCCAUUUUGUUUAGUGAAUAAGAUCAUAUACUGCCGUAGUUUACCACCGGGUGCCACUGUUAACUCACAUCAGCCCUUUCCCACAGCUCUGGCCAGUCCCCUCCCCUUUCUGUGUCCGUCUCUUCCCCCUUCCUCUCGCUCCCUACCUUCCUCCCUCCUUCUCCUUUUCCUCUAAAACAAAGUAAUUGCCUGCAGCUCAGUUCAGUCUCUCACUCUGACGCAGAUCAGGCUCCAGCCAGUCAAUCAUCAUUCUCCACCACAACGUUGAAUACCUGGUGCGGUUCAAGGAGUCACUGAAAGCUGCUGUUGACGCCAGUACAUGUAUGGAGGGGACGGCCCUUCUCUGUGUGCGUUGCCUUUAAAUCGCGUCUAAAGUCGAGCAGCUAUAUUGGUUUUUCGACGUUGGUUGUCAUACUUAUAGAUGAUAGCGUGUUCAUGUGUCACACGCCCUAGAUUAGUGGCGGACAUUAAUCUCCUCCCAGUGUUCUUCUGUCAGUCAGGCAUCUAUAAUUCAAACACAGCCAGGCAGAGGUCCUGGUGAGGUCUGCUUUGAAAGAGAACACAAUCUUUUAUUAUCUUUUCAUUUCUCUAAUUAGCUUUGUGUCUCUCUUGCUUGCUGUCUACAUGCAGUACAAACCUCUGUCAGCCUGUGUUUAACAUCCCCGUACGUCCAUAGUGUGAAGUGAGCAACCAACCGCUGAGGCAGGGUCCCGCUCUCAGGAUUUUCUAAUAAAUGCAGGUCCGACCAAAGUGCCACGAGAACCUUAUUGCUCUGCAAUUUGAUAGCCGCGUCUCUUUCUGCUGACGGAGAGACGGAAAUGUCAGUUCAGCCAUUUGUUCAACCGGUGCCGUUCAGAAGAAGACAAUCUCUACCUCUAAGACCUGGGCAGGGAGGCGGCAGAUGAAAACCCAGAUGCUGAAUAUCCAAGUGAAGCUGUGAUCUCGUGUGGAUUUCCUUAAUUUAAUCUCUCAAAUCAUGACAGAGAGGGGAAGUGUUCCUAAGUUAUCAGCAACACCUGUGAGGGAGUGAUAAGAUAAACAGAGGCAACUUUACAGAGGAGGUGGUUUCCAGAUAAAAUCCAUGUAUCCUC